GUGCUUGCUUCGGCAGCGCAUAUACUAAAAUUGCGACGAUACAGAGAUUAGCAUGGCCCCUGCACAAGGAUGACACGCAAAUUCAUGAAGCGUUCCAUAUUUUU
rnacentral:snRNA from 1 species